rnacentral:sRNA from 10 species
GGGACCGAAGCGGAAAUCCUUUCUCAAUUUGAGAAAGAUUGCAGCGUAGGGCCCG